rnacentral:rRNA from 1 species
AACGCGAAGAACCUUACCUGGGUUUGACAUCUGUUGACAUCCGUAGAGAUACGGCUUUCGGAGAAAUCCGACAACAAGACAGGUGCUGCAUGGCUGUCGUCAGCUCGUGGGGUGACCUGUUGGGUUAAGUCCCGCAACGAGCGCAACCCCUGUCCUUAGUUGCCAGCAUUCAGUUGGGCUCUCUAGGGAGACUGCCGUGGUUAACACGGAGGAAGGUGGGGAUGACGUCAAGUCCUCAUGGCCUUUAUAUCCAGGGCGACACACGUGAUACAAUGGACGGUACAAAGGGAUGCGAAGAAGCGAUUCGGAGCUAAUCUCAAAAAACCGUUACUCAGUUCGGAUUGGAGUCUGCAACUCGACUCCAUGAAGUUGGAAUCGCUAGUAAUCGCGGAUCAGCACGCCGCGGUGAAUACGUUCCCGGGGCCUGUACACACCGCUACAGU